rnacentral:rRNA from 1 species
AUACGUAGGGGGCGAGCGUUGUCCGGAAUGAUUGGGCGUAAAGGGCGCGUAGGCGGCCCGGUAAGUCUGGCGUGAAAGUCAUGUUUUUAAGAGGGGACUUGCUUUGGAUACUGUCGGGCUUGAGUGCAUGAGAGGUAAGUGGAAUUCCAAGUGUAGCGGUGAAAUGAGUAGAGAUUGGGAGGAACACCAGUGGCGAAGGCGACUUACUGGACUGUAACUGACGCUGAGGCGCGAAAGUGUGGGGAGCAAACAGGAUUAGAUACCCUGGUAGUCCACACUGUAAACGAUGAAUGCUAGGUGUAGGGGGUAUCGACCCCUUCUGUGCCGCAGUCAACACAAUAAGCAUUCCGCCUGGGGAGUACGGCCGCAAGGUUGAAACUCAAAGGAAUUGACGGGG